CAUUUUGGCGUGGGCGCAAGCCUGACCGCCUGCCGCGUGAGUGACGAAGGCCUUAGGGUUGUAAAGCUCUUUUGGCGGGGAAGAUAAUGACGGUACCCGCAGAAUAAGCUCCGGCUAACUUCGUGCCAGCAGCCGCGGUAAUACGAAGGGAGCUAGCGUUGUUCGGAAUCACUGGGCGUAAAGCGCACGUAGGCGGAUGUGUCAGUCAGGGGUGAAAUCCCGGAGCUCAACUUCGGAACUGCCCUUGAUACAGCACGUCUCGAGUCCGAGAGAGGUGAGUGGAAUUCCUAGUGUAGAGGUGAAAUUCGUAGAUAUUAGGAAGAACGGCAGUGGCGAAGGCGGCUCACUGGCUCGGUACUGACGCUGAGGUGCGAAAG
rnacentral:rRNA from 1 species